GGAGAGAUGGCUCAGCCGUUAAGAGCACUGGCUGCUCUUCCAGAGGACCUGGGUUCAAUUCCCAGCACCC
rnacentral:tRNA from 1 species